rnacentral:tRNA from 2 species
GGUUGGAUAACAUAAUGGUAAUGUAUAAGAUUGCAAAUCUUAGAAUGACGGUUCAAUUCCGUCUCUAACCU